rnacentral:misc_RNA from 1 species
GGGGGAGUUGUGUGGGAGAUAAUUGGAAGAUGCCUAAGCUCAGGAUUAUUUUGCUUUCGUGUGUGCAUUGAUUAUGUGGGAAUGAUCUUAUACGUAAUGAGUAAAUUGUGUUUGUACUAGGGUUUGCUUUGACUUUUGAUAACAAUGAGGAACAAAUUACAAAUUGAGGGAUGUUAAUUGACUUUGUGGGCCUCAGUUUAUUGAUAUCAAGAUGGAACAAGGAGAUUUGAUAAUAUAGGCCUGCGUAUUCUGAGGGUAACUGCAAUUAGCAGAAAUAGAAUUUUCGGGCUUCCUGUUUUGGGCAAAGGGGAAAACUUUGAACAUCUUUGACCAUAGAAUGAGUUGUUAAUACA